rnacentral:rRNA from 1 species
CCUACGGGAGGCAGCAGUAGGGAAUAUUGCUCAAUGGGGGAAACCCUGAAGCAGCAACGCCGCGUGGAGGAUGAAGGUUUUCGGAUUGUAAACUCCUUUUGUUAGAGAAGAUAAUGACGGUAUCUAACGAAUAAGCACCGGCUAACUCCGUGCCAGCAGCCGCGGUAAUACGGAGGGUGCAAGCGUUACUCGGAAUCACUGGGCGUAAAGGGCGCGUAGGCGGGAUAGCAAGUCAGAUGUGAAAUCCUAUGGCUUAACCAUAGAACUGCAUUUGAAACUGUUAUUCUAGAGUAUGGGAGAGGUAGGUGGAAUUCUUGGUGUAGGGGUAAAAUCCGUAGAGAUUAAGAGGAAUACUCAUGGCGAAGGCGACCUGCUAGAACAUAACUGACGCUGAUGCGCGAAAGCGUGGGGAGCAAACAGGAUUAGAUACCCGGGUAGUC